rnacentral:misc_RNA from 1 species
GAGGGUGUAAGAAAAUAUGCUGUACAAUGGUGGUGAAGGCUCCUAACUGAAGUAAGUAUCCAGUCUAAUCCCAACCCAUUAGUAUUUUUCUUACACCCUCUUCAAUCUUGUUCCUGGGCACGGUAACUCCACCCCCUUCAUCAAGUAGUAUUCUAUACACUUCCCACUCUCGGUCAUGAAUCAUAUGCCUUCCAAUCUCCACUGAGAAGAUGCCAGUGCUUNNNNNNNNNNNUAAUAUCAUAAAACACGAGAGGCCUGCCCCUCCCAGACAACUCAACAGGGUUGGCAACAAGCAGCUCUGUAUCAGGACCCCGNCAACGGCAACUCUAAGGGGGCGCAGAAGCUCCAUUCUCAAACGAGAGCAUAAUGCAUCUUGUUUAUUGGGGUCAAUUAUCUUCUUGCCAUCCGCUUGCAU